CCUGCGUCUCACCGCCCACUCCUCCCCUGGACCUCGGGCCCGGGUCGCUGGCUCCCCUUCCAGCUCGCCUGCCACGGGCUGCGGGGACAGGAAGGAGAGGGGCUGCGGCUUGCGAGGAAUUUACUGUGAGAAAAGCAUUUUCCCUAAACAAUGACCAGGAAACAUUGCCUUGAUGAUGUUGGCAGCGUUAUCUGAAGGCUUCUUGAGCCACAUGAAUGGCCACGGGGCCCAGUUCCCAGACUCAGAACUGCUUCCUCCACACAAGCUGCCAAGGCCUCUUGGUUCCCUUGACGGGGGAGGCAUGCUGUCCUCUGGGCCAGCUCUGACCUUGAGCGAGGCCCAGGCUGGCUGGUCCUGGCCGUGUGCAGAGGGCCUUCCUGAGAUGAAACAAUGAGUCACUCCCAGGAGGGCCACCGAGCACCUUAUGACUGUCUUCACCACGCCUGUGUUGGGGGACAGAGCAGAGAAGGAUCAGGACAAGAAGGACACCCAGCAGCCGUCACACUAACGCACACCUUCCAGCUUCUGGCCGUCCUCCCCGCACUGCCCUGGCUGGGCUGCUAGUAACGCGAGGCAUAUGAAGUGUGACCUGCUGGAGCGCAGAGCCCGACUCCGUGCUCCGGGCACCGCGGGCCGGCGCUCUAGGGACGCCCAGCUGCAGCUUCUACGUUCUUUGCACUUUUGAAGUCAGACUCAACAGUGACUCACAGCAGGGCCGGGCGUGGCCGUCGUCAGUCCACCCGUCACAUUGGAGCUAGGUGGCUCGCAGCUCCCAGCUUGCUUUCUAGUUGUCUCUUGUUCAAGCGCUGCCAGUGGGGAGGUGUAACCUCUCUCCACAGAGGGAGGGGUUCUCUGCUAGACUGGGUCAGCCAUUGCUACUCCCUCACCACACCCUGUCACCUGGUAGUGUGACUGGGAGCACAAGCCCAGGGUGGUCACUCCAUUGGUGUAGAGGGCUGAUGACUCUACGGGUGGGCGAUUGACAGACACGCCUUAUGUCUUCUCCAGGCGUCUUGUUCCCAGUGUGCAAUGGGUUAAAAGCCCAUCACCCAUCACCACUUCUUCCCAUGUUAGAUUCACCCCACAUAGCCAUGCUUCCAGUUGGCUUGAUGGAGAGUUUGAUCCCCUGAGUCUUUAAGUGUGGGCUGGAGACAUGGCUCACCAGUAAAAGGUGCUUGCUUGCAAAGUCUGAUGGUUCAGUUCAGUCCCCCAGUACCCACAUAAAGCCAGACCCACACAAAGUGGCACGUGCGUCUGGAGUAUGCAGCCGCGAGAGGCCUGGUAUGCUCAUAUUCUCUUUAUCUCUCAAAUAAACAGAUAAAAUAUUUAAUAAUAAUACAUUAUUUAUUAAAAAGAAAAUAAAAUGCUGGAUGUGUUUA